rnacentral:rRNA from 1 species
UACGGAGGAUCCAAGCGUUAUCCGGAAUUAUUGGGUUUAAAGGGUCCGCAGGCUGUUUGUUAAGUCAGGGGUGAAAUCCUACCGCUCAACGGUAGAACUGCCUUUGAUACUGACAAACUUGAGUUAUUGUGAAGUAGUUAGAAUGUGUAGUGUAGCGGUGAAAUGCAUAGAUAUUACACAGAAUACCAAUUGCGAAGGCA